rnacentral:rRNA from 1 species
GACGAACCGUCCAAACGUUAUUCGGUAUCACUGGGCUUAAAGCGUGCGUAGGCGGCCUGGUAGGUGUGAUGUGAAAUCCCACAGCUCAACUGUGGAAUUGCGUCGCAAACCACCAGGCUUGAGGAAGACAGGGGUGUUGGGAACUUAUGGUGGAGCGGUGAAAUGCGUUGAUAUCAUAGGGAACACCGGUGGCGAAGGCGCAACACUGGGUCUUUUCUGACGCUGAGGCACGAAAGCUAGGGUAGCGAACGGG